rnacentral:rRNA from 1 species
UACAGAGGUCUCAAGCGUUGUUCGGAUUCAUUGGGCGUAAAGGGCGCGUAGGCGGCCUUCUAAGUCAGACGUGAAAUCCCCCGGCUUAACCUGGGAACUGCGUCUGAUACUGGGAGGCUUGAGUAUGGGAGAGGGAUGUAGAAUUCCAGGUGUAGCGGUGAAAUGCGUAGAUAUCUGGAGGAAUACCGGUGGCGAAGGCGGCAUCCUGGAGCCAUAACGUGACGCUGAGGCGCGAAAGCUAGGGGAGCAAACGGGG